rnacentral:rRNA from 1 species
UACAGAGGGUGCAAGCGUUAAUCGGAAUUACUGGGCGUAAAGCGUGCGUAGACGGUUAUGUAAGUCAGAUGUGAAAGCCCCGGGCUCAACCUGGGAAUUGCAUUUGAGACUGCAUAGCUAGGGUGCGGAAGAGGGAAGCGGAAUUUCCGGUGUAGCGGUGAAAAUGCGUAGAUAUCGGAAGGAACACCAGUGGCGAAAAGCGGCUUCCUGGUCCAGCACCGACGUCAGGCACGAAAGCGUGGGGAGCAAACAGG